CCCGCGAGACCAUACUUCAUUUCACAAGAGCAGCGCUUCAACCUGCGAGACCAGACCCGUGCGGUGCCGGGAAGACUUGUACCUUGUCCCGCAAGGCAAAGGAAGGCCUUAAUGGUCCUGAAAGUUGAGCGAAAGCCUGAUGAGGCUGGGUGGAACUGUUAGUGGCCCUCGGUCACUUGGUGUCCCUCCUACUGAGGAGAUAAAAGAUGAUGUGAAGAAGACUUUGACCGGGAGAAGGAGGAGGUCCUGUGCCAGAGAGGUUUUAUGUAAAAGAUAUUUUCCUAUUAUAACCAUUGUUUUGAGCCUUCUGAAAUGAAGACCCAAAGGCAAAAGGAAAAUCUGUGUGUUCUUAUGCUUCUGUUUGAAGGGUGGAUGGCUCUGCAGAAGAUCCUACCACCACCUCUGAAAUGAGGGUCUUUUGACCUAACUGAAGGAAAAGUUGGCUAAGCCUUAUGGAUGUUUCAGGGAAGUAAGGGUGAGGGGAAGGAGAGAGUGACCCUGCUUCUGCUGUUUUCCCAGAUGCCAAGGUGCUGCAUUUUGGGGUCACAUAUUCUGAAUCCCAUCAUCAAAAAUUUGUUGUUCAUAUGUGUGGAUUCUUAUAUUUUUGUGUACUUUUUCAAUUAUCAAAUAAAUUGUGUUUAAAGGUUGCACAUUAUA